rnacentral:rRNA from 1 species
AGUGAACGCUGGCGGUAGGCCUAACACAUGCAAGUCGAACGGCAGCACAGUAAGAGCUUGCUCUUACGGGUGGCGAGUGGCGGACGGGUGAGGAAUACAUCGGAAUCUACUUUUUCGUGGGGGAUAACGUAGGGAAACUUACGCUAAUACCGCAUACGACCUACGGGUGAAAGCAGGGGAUCUUCGGACCUUGCGCGAUUGAAUGAGCCGAUGUCGGAUUAGCUAGUUGGCGGGGUAAAGGCCCACCAAGGCGACGAUCCGUAGCUGGUCUGAGAGGAUGAUCAGCCACACUGGAACUGAGACACGGUCCAGACUCCUACGGGAGGCGGCAGUGGGGAAUAUUGGACAAUGGGCGCAAGCCUGAUCCAGCCAUACCGCGUGGGUGAAGAAGGCCUUCGGGUUGUAAAGCCCUUUUGUUGGGAAAGAAAAGCAGCAGGUUAAUACCCCGCUGUCCUGACGGUACCCAAAGAAUAAGCACCGGCUAACUUCGUG